rnacentral:rRNA from 1 species
ACGAACGCUGGCGGCACGCCUAACACAUGCAAGUCGAACGCGCUUUUCUGGGCUUGCCUAGAAAAGCGAGUGGCGCACGGGUGAGUAACACGUGGGAACCUGCCUCGUUGUCUGGAACAACCAUUGGAAACGGUGGCUAAUACCAGAUAUUGCCCCAAGGUUAAGAGCUAUGGGGUGAAAGAUUUAUCGCAACGAGAUGGGCCCGCGUCAGAUUAGGUAGUUGGUGGGGUAAUGGCCUACCAAGCCUACGAUCUGUAGCUGGUCUGAGAGGAUGGUCAGCCACACUGGGACUGAGACACGGCCCAGACUCCUACGGGAGGCAGCAGUGAGGAAUCUUGGACAAUGGGGGAAACCCUGAUCCAGCGAUGCCGCGUGAGUGAAGAAGGUCUUCGGAUUGUAAAGCUCUUUCGACAGGGAAGAUGAUGACGGUACCUGUAGAAGAAGCCCCGGCUAACUCCGU